rnacentral:rRNA from 1 species
UCGAGAAUCUUUCGCAAUGGGCGAAAGCCUGACGAAGCGACGCCGUGUGAAUGAAGAAGGCCUUCGGGUUGUAAAGUUCUUUCGCCUGGGAACAAGAAAGGCUGGGGAUAAUCCAGCCGAUUUGAGGGUACUAGGUAAAGAAGCACCGGCUAACUCCGUGCCAGCAGCUGCGGUAAUACGGAGGGUGCAAGCAUUAAUCGGAAUUAUUGGGCGUAAAGGGCGCGUAGGCGGGGAUAUCAGUCAAACGUGAAAUCUAAGGGCUUAACCUUUGGACUGCGUUUGAAACUAUAUUUCUUGAGGGUAAGUGGGGAGAAUGGAAUUCCACAAGUAGCGGUGGAAUGCGUAGAUAUGUGGAGGAACACCUGUGGCGAAGGCGGUUCUCUAACUUAUUCCUGACGCUGAGGCGCGAAAGCAAGGGGAGCAAACA